rnacentral:rRNA from 1 species
AACGAACGCUGGCGGCAUGCCUAACACAUGCAAGUCGAACGAGACCUUCGGGUCUUGUGGCGCACGGGUUCGUAACGCGUGGGAACCUUCCCUUAUGUUCGGAAUAACUCCCCGACAGGGGUGCCAAUACCGGAUAAUGGCUUCUGACCAAAGAUUUAUCGCAUUUGGUUGUGCCCGCGUUGGAUUAGCUUGUUGGUAGGGUAAAAGCCUACCAAGGCGACGAUCCAUAGCUUGUCUGAGAGGAUGAUCAGCCACACUGGGACUGAGACACGGCCCAGACUCCUACGGGAGGCAGCAGUGGGGAAUAUUGGACAAUGGGCGAAAGCCUGAUCCAGCAAGGCCGCGUGAGUGAUGAAGGCCUUAGGGUUGUAAAGCUCUUUUACCCGGGAUGAUAAUGACAGUACCGGGAGAAUAGCUCCGGCUAACUCCGUG